rnacentral:misc_RNA from 1 species
AUUGUUGUGAGUUGUGUCUGGCAUCGCUAAUGGCAGCUGAUGGCUUUUGGAAAUAGAAUGGCAAGGCGUCGUUGAAUGAGCACCACAAGGUGCCGUGCGCAUGGGGCUAAACUCAGUACGUGCCGAUUUCCAUGGGUUGUUAUGAGUUGUUUCUAGCAUCGCUCGUGGCAGCUGAUGGAUUUUAGCAACGGAACGUCCCGUCUUCGUGCAAGUAGCACCGCAAGGUGCUGCGCUUAUGGGGCUAAACUCAGUACGUCCCGAUUUCCAUCGAUUAUAGUGAUUUGUAUCUGGCAUCGCUCGUGGCGGCUGAUGUCUUUUGGCAACGGAACGUCCAAGCCUCGUGCAAGUAGCGUCGUAAAGUAUCUUGUGUAUAGGGUUAAUCGCAGUACCUAUCGAUUUCCAUCGGUUGAUGUGAGUUGUGACUCGCAUCGCUCAUGGCGGCUGAUGGCCUUUGGCAAUGGAAGGGCGAGGCAUCGUGCUAGUAGCACCGCAAGGUGCCGUACGCAUGGGGCAUAUACAGUAUGUU